rnacentral:rRNA from 1 species
AUUGAACGCUGGCGGCAGGCCUAACACAUGCAAGUCGAACGGUAGCACAGAGAGCUUGCUCUCGGGUGACGAGUGGCGGACGGGUGAGUAAUGUCUGGGAAACUGCCUGAUGGAGGGGGAUAACUACUGGAAACGGUAGCUAAUACCGCAUAACGUCGCAAGACCAAAGAGGGGGACCUUCGGGCCGCUUGCCAUCGGAUGUGCCCAGGUGGGAUUAGCUAGUAGGUGGGGUAACGGCUCACCUAGGCGACGAUCCCUAGCUGGUCUGAGAGGAUGACCAGCCACACUGGAACUGAGACACGGUCCAGACUCCUACGGGAGGCAGCAGUGGGGAAUAUUGCACAAUGGGCGCAAGCCUGAUGCAGCCAUGCCGCGUGUAUGAAGAAGGCCUUCGGGUUGUAAAGUACUUUCAGCGGGGAGGAAGGUGCUGAGGUUAAUAACCUCAGCAAUUGACGUUACCCGCAGAAGAAGCACCGGCUAACUCCGUG